GAUGGAAGAACGCAGUGAAAUGCGAUAAGUAAUGCGAAUUGCAGAAUUCAGUGAGUCAUCGAAUCUUUGAACGCACAUUGCGCCCUGUGGUAUUCCGCAGGGCAUGCCUGUUCGAGCGUCAUUUCAACCCUCAAGCCCCGCUUGGUGUUGGGCCCCGCCCGCCGUGGCCGGCCCUAAAGACAGUGGCGGCGCCGCCUGGCCCUCAGCGUAGUACAGCUCUCGCUCCAGGGUCCGGCGGCCGCCUGCCAGAACCCCCCCAACUCUGUGGUUGACCUCGGAUCAGGUAGGGAUACCCGCUGAACUUAAGCAUAUCAAUAAGCGGAGGA
rnacentral:misc_RNA from 1 species